rnacentral:lncRNA from 1 species
UGUCUGUUGCAGCUGUUGUCUGUCCUAGCCGCGCUGGCCGUGAUGUACGUCGCGGCCGCCGCGCCGGCAGAAGAUCAGCACGACCUGGCCGCCGAGGAGGCCAGAUACGCCUACGGCUACCGCUACCCCUACUACAGCCGCGCCCGCUACGGCUACGGCCUGGCGCCCCGGUACCCGUACUACCGCGGCUACUACGGCCUGUCGCCGUUCGGGCUCUACUAGACGGCCUGACCGACUCCGUACCCGUUACCGAGUACUCGGUACCGGACCCCACUCCAGGACCGACGGCAACAGCUCCCUGCGCUCUCUGGCCAGUACCCUUCUGCUCACUCUCCGGCCAAUGUAGUGGUGGCCAAUAAAUGCUAGACUGCACGACACAGA